rnacentral:RNase_P_RNA from 1 species
CGGCCCGGGCAGCCGCGCGGGGGCGACUCCGUGAGGAAAGUCCGGGCUUCACAGAGCAGGAUAGCCGAUAACAUCGGCCGCGGGCGACCGCCGGACAAGUGCAACAGAAAUAGACUACCCCGCCCCCCGGCGGGGAAAAGGUGGAAAGGUGGGGUAAGAGCCCACCGGUGUCCCGGGUGACCGGGGCAUCCUGUAAACUCUAUCCGAAGCAACACCGACUUGGGGGCUACGGCUUGCUCGGCCAAUCUCCAGACGGGUGGCAAAGAGACGAACAGCAAUGUUCGCCCAAGAUAGAUGGCUGCCGACUACAGAACCCGGCUUAUAGGGCCGCUG